rnacentral:lncRNA from 10 species
GCAGAAAACCAGGCGCUAAGGAUCAGGAGACUUGCUGUUGAGAAAACAACCUCAAGCUAACAAAAGAGAUGCUGAGAAUAAAUGGCAUGUCCUGAUAAGGGAUAAAGUACUGGCGUACAUCAAGAAAAGCUGCUUUAGCUGCAAUACAGAGAACAGAAUGGAGGUAGCAAGCAUGUGAGCGGGAAGAUCCAUCAAAGGCCAUUACAACCGUGCAGGCCAGAACUGGAGACUUCCAGAAGAGAAAGGAUUCAUGCUGGAUAUAGAUGCCUGGAGUUCAGAGGUGAGAUCUGGGGCGAGUCAUCCAUGAACAGGUAUUAUUUGAAGCCACCAGGAUGGAUUAGGCCAACCACAGACUGAGUGGAGCUUGAAGAUAAAUUUUAAAGGAAGCAACCAAAUGUAUCUUUAGCAUCUCUCUUAAAAUCAUAAAACCUUAAGCUUUAUGGACAUGUCACAAAUCAAAUAAAUCAUUUUCCUGAAAUACAAAUAUAAUCUGAAAAAACAAAAUAUUGCUUUAAAAUGGACCACAUGCUUAUGUAAUCCCCAAAACAAAAUUAACAUCUGAGUAAUGAAACAAUGUAUAUCAAAGAUAUGUCAAAGAGGAACGCUGCCAUAUCUUAUAACCAGAUAAUAACCAACGAACUUUCACGUAAUACUCUCCCCUCAUCCCCAAGAGCCAGCCUUUGGUAUGUAAAUUACAAUAUAUUGGCUAAGACUUUCUAUUUUUUCACCCUCAGCAUGUGUUCCAUUCAGGAAGCUAUGGAAAAAGUCAACUGAGUACUAGAGGGAAUACUAGAAAUAAGGGGUCCUUUUGACUUAGACAGGGUAACAGAAUCAGAUGUCACUAAAAAGGAGCGGGAAGGAAGAAAAGGAAGGUUGCAUGUCAAGCAUGAAGUGAGGGUUAUGGCCUGUGUGCUUGGGGAACAACAGGGAGAAGGCUGGGGAUGAGGGAGAAGAGAAUAUAGAUGCCCCUCGACUUACGACUGGGCUGCCCCCAACCCAUGGUAAGCUGAAAAUAUGGUAAGUUGAAAAUGCAUUUAAUGCACCUAACCUACCGAACAUCAUACCUCAUAGCCUACAUUAAAUGUGCUCCAAACACAUUAUCCUACAGUUGGACCAAGUCAUCUAACACAAAGCUGACUUUAUAAUAAAGUGCGGACUACCUCAUGUAAUUUACUGAAUACAGGAGAGCACUGUAGAGAAUAAUAUCACUUGUUUGCCCUCAAGGUCACAUGGCUGACUGGGAGCUGCUGCUGAUGGGGAGCUGCCCAGCAUCAUGAAAGAGGAUCCUUCCACACUUACUACUAGCCCAGGAAAUGAUCAAAAUUCAAAAUUGGAAGUACAGUUUCCACUGAAUACUUUUCACUUUUGCACCAUCAUAAAGUCAACAAAUCAUAUGUCAAGCCAUCCUAAGUUGAGGACCACCUAUAAUGUGUUUUAAAAUCAACUUCCAAAGUGGUUAUUUUCAUAUUUGGCUGAUCUUUUGUUUCAGCGUGUAUCUUACUCCACAGUGUGUGUUUUAAAUACAAAUACCUAAUAAAUUUCCAUUUUUUAAUUGACUUGUAUCAUUUACACUUACUGUCUAUCUGACAUCCUAGUGUACCCAUAUGACACAAACAAGCCAUCUCCAGGUUUCUUUCUUUUCCUUCCUCCACCGAAUAGCCCUGUGCUGUUAUUAUUAUCCUUCCCUACUGUAUUAGAGCACAGGGAUCAGGAGAUAUUUCUUUUUUUUCUUUUUAAGGGACAGGGUCUUAUUUUGUUGCCCAGGCUAAUCCAUGAACUAGGAGAUAUUUCUUAAGUUGAUCAUGAAUAUUAGGAAGACCAAAGAGCAAGAAGGACCUCUGUCAUACUGACUCCGAGAACUGAGACACAUAUCCAGCCUCUACUCUGAGCAACUUCUCCUUGGCUCUGCAAAUGUGAUAAAUUUGUCUGCUUCCGUUUUUUCCUGUGACCUAAACAACCCAUUGUAGGUUUUUUAUUUCUUCUUCUAAUUUAUAGUGACAUUUCAUGGAAUAAUAGUUGAAAAACAUGCUAUAAUCACAAACCACUCUAAUGAAGGGAGAAGUGAAUGGUAAAGAAAAAAAUCAUUUACUCCAAGCUUUUACAAGCAGUGGGUCAUUUCCCUCCCACAAGUGGGCUUUGCCCUUUCUUGCCCUCCCUGUUUUGGCUCAGGGCAGGUGACUGACUCUGCAUCUCCCACAGAUGAAUAAUGUAGGACCACUGUCGUGCAGAAGUCUAGGUAAGGGUAUGGUUACCCAAAGAAAGGCAAACAGAUUUCUCAUUCCACUUUUGCCAUGAAGCAUGACACCUGCCAAAAAGACCACUCUCAGUAUGCACUGUGCCCUCCUCUCCCCACUCCCCACUUGCAUCCCCACCUCCUCCCCCGUGAACUAUUCAUUCUCCAUGACACACCUUAAGUCUCGUCUGACUUACCCCAGCAGAGCUUACCACUCUCUCCUUUCUGCCACAUCACCCUAUUUUUGCUUUACAAUGAUGCAUGGUGAAGUGUGUCCAUUUGUCUCUCCCCUAUGAUGCUGUGAGAUUCUUAAGGGCAUAUUUGUAUCCCCCAUGCUAAACUUACAGUGUCUGUCAGCACUAAUUAAUUAUUUGCUGAAUUAUUUAUGUAAGAAGAGCAAGUGCCAUCGUCUUAUAGGCAUCUUCACACACAAUAUCUCCAGGUCAUGACUUCAAGCAUCAGGUUGUGGGUUUACGGGCAUACAGGGAACUACCUAAUUGGUCACCAUUUCCUUGGAGCCACCGAAUGCCAUUCUCUUGAAAAGGAGUGUAGACAGAUUUAGAAUUUGAGGGGGUUUCCUUCUUCCUAUAGCCAAUCUGACAGCUAGAAUACUUGAUUUUAUCUUUAGCCCCUGAAAGCACUUUAGCUGGUCCACAAAUAUCCCCACUGAGAGAAGGAUAUACAAUCAUGCAGGGAUAAGAAAUGUGCCAUGGAUGAUUCACAGUAUAUCAAGGAACCUGCAAGCCAGGCAGGGGCUGUGGCAGUUUAGACAGUAGUACCUAGCCCCUCAGCUGGCUGCUGUAUCCCUUCUAAAAGGCAGACUUUUUCAGGGACCCACAUAGUUCACUAGUCCCAACACAGCCUUCUCUGAAAGGAGGACGCACCACAUGACUGUUCAGGGCAUAGCCCACCUAAUCAUAAAGGAAAGGAAGACAAAGGGCAGGUCACCCUGGUUGUCCAAGCAGGUCAACCAAAAUGGGCAAACAAGACUGGGCCCGUGCCUAUUGAUCGAGCCUCUUGUUGCUGGAGGUCAUGCUUUGAUGAAAACCAAGUCAUAUUAUAACUGCCACAGCCCUACCCAGACUCCUAGCUUGUCAGUAUUUCAAGGCUGCGGGGAUGAAGCCAAUAGCAGCUUCCUAGGAUCCCUGCAGCACAUCCAUGAGGGCUCUACGCAAUCAGAGAGUCGCUAUGGUCUCCUGUGAAAAAUUCUGAAUGGCUCUGAUAACAAUUCCAACCAAACUUCAGCCCUCCCCUGGCCUGUAUUUAAAAUAAAAAUAAUUACAACUUUGUACAUGAAAAUCUAACUUCAGGAGAAAAUCAGGUAAUCAGAGGCCUCCUGUGACUAGGGAGUACUUGGACAGGGUAUUUCAGGAACAGUUUCAUGGUGAUUAACUAACUUGCUUCAUUUCAAUGUAGUUGUCACUCUGAAUUACCACUUAAUGGGUGAAGUCUGCAGGCUAUAACAGUCAGUAGUACAGGCGUAAGGAAGCAAGACAUUAAAAAAAAUUAGCCCCUAAAGCAAUUAAUUGCAGUGAAUUUUUCAAAUAGUUUUAAUACUCUGUCUUUUGACCCCAGGGUAUGGCUUGGGGAAAAUAUAUUAAUCUCAAGAUAACAGUCAGUCAAUUUCAGCUCUUCAAUAUCCACAGUGAUAUUAAGAAUUCCAACCUUACACUUUUUGGUUGCAAACAUUAAUUAAGCAUGAUAAUUGUGUGUCUCCGUGAUAUUUGGUGCUUUCUGAAUGAGUCAGAGCUCAGGGAAUAAUCUGAAUACAGCAGACAGCAAUUUGCUACAUAAAUUCGCUCCAAUAGCUAUUAGCUCAUUUUAGAAUAGUCAAGACUCCUAGAUUAGAGUUUUGCAUUAAAUACCAAGUUAAUCACAUCCACCUAACCUUUUAUUUGCCCUUCCCAAAAACUCUUCUAAAGAAACUUCUGCAAGGCCUGACCCAAGUGUAAUAAGGUGCAGGGUAGACGUUAAAAAUGUGUGUUUUUAACACAGUAUCUUUAAACUAUAGAGUUUCGUAGAAUCUCUCUUAAUAUUUAUCUUCCAAAAUUUUAUGUGACGGGUCAACAGGGCUUCAUAUUUGUUUUUUAACUUUGAUUUCAAACAAGAUUAUUUCAAUAUGAACCAAACAUUACCUAUAUACCACAGAUUAUAUAUUAAGGAUAUUCACCAACUUAGUGACAUGUUUAGGUACCAAUUUCAAUACUCCUUUAGAGAUUUGCAGGAGCAAGUGAGAGUCUAGUGAAGUCAUUGAAAUUGACUUAAUGCUAAGAAAUUAAGUGGAGGUUUUAGUUUGG